rnacentral:rRNA from 1 species
UACAGAGGGGGCAAGCGUUGUUCGGAAUUACUGGGCGUAAAGGGCGCGUAGGCGGCCUUCUAAGUCGAACGUGAAAUCCCCGGGCUCAACCCGGGAACUGCGUCCGAGACUGGAAGGCUUGAAUCCGGGAGAGGGAUGUGGAAUUCCAGGUGUAGCGGUGAAAUGCGUAGAUAUCUGGAGGAACACCGGUGGCGAAGGCGGCAUCCUGGACCAACACUGACGCUGAGGAGCGAAAGCCAGGGGAGCAAACGGG